rnacentral:rRNA from 1 species
UGAGUAAUGUCUGGGAAACUGCCUGAUGGAGGGGGAUAACUACUGGAAACGGUAGCUAAUACCGCAUAACGUCGCAAGACCAAAGUGGGGGACCUUCGGGCCUCAUGCCAUCAGUUGUGCCCAGAUGGGAUUAGCUAGUAGGUGAGGUAAUGGCUCACCUAGGCGACGAUCCCUAGCUGGUCUGAGAGGAUGACCAGCCACACUGGAACUGAGACACGGUCCAGACUCCUACGGGAGGCAGCAGUGGGGAAUAUUGCACAAUGGGCGCAAGCCUGAUGCAGCCAUGCCGCGUGUAUGAAGAAGGCCUUCGGGUUGUAAAGUACUUUCAGCGAGGAGGAAGGCGAUAAGGUUAAUAACCUUGUCGAUUGACGUUACUCGCAGAAGAAGCACCGGCUAACUCCGUGCCAGCAGCCGCGGUAAUACGGAGGGUGCAAGCGUUAAUCGGAAUUACUGGGCGUAAAGCGCACGCAGGCGGUCUGUCAAGUCGGAUGUGAAAUCCCCGGG